UGGCUCAGACAGCAAAGCAUCUGCCUACAAUGCAGAAGACCUGGGUUCAAUUCCUGG
rnacentral:tRNA from 1 species